AUGGAGUCUCACUCUUGUCCCCCAGCCUGGAGUGCAAUGGCACGAUCUCGGCUUACUGCAACCUCCGCCUCCCAGGUUCAAGCAAUUCUCCUGCCUCAGCCUCCCGGGACUACAGAUUCAUGCUCUCCAUCUCCAGAUCAUGAACAGCAGCCAUUGUCCUGGGUCCUCCCUCCUCCCCAGAAGGACAUGAAUCCCAGGGAACAGCAGGUGGCCCUAGGUCCUCAGGCUGCCGCUCUUCCCUGGGCUGUCUGGCGCAACGACUGCUUUCCAAGGCCUUUCCUGUAUGUGAAGAGAAGACAGCUGAAGAUGAUCAAAAUGAUCUAAACCUCCUAAAUGGCCCAAAAUAAAGUUUUCUAUGUAAUUGUUUUAAAAAGAGCCAGAUGACUGAGAUUAAAAUGCAGCUCUACCAUGUAUCAGCUGUAAGUUAACAUCAGAUAAAUCACUUAAUUAAAUUCUCCAAGCCUCAAAUUA